UGCCCAAUCUGGCCCUCCAGCUGCGCCAAGUCACACGAUUUUUAUAAAAGGAUGUAGAUGUAAUUGAGGAACAACCAGAUGGAAGAGACACAUCGGCAAGGCACGGGGAAAGGGCCCAGGGCUCCCAGCCCUCUCCAGAAUUUAUUUCAGGGCCUCACUACUCCAUUUGUGGACUGGGGACCAGCCUCACCUAGGAACUUAUAAGAAAUGCAGCAUCUCCGGCUCUACUCAAUCAGAACAUGUAUUUUAGCACAAUCCCCAGGUCGUUUGAGGGCACGUUAACAUAUGAGAAGCACAGAUCAAGAGGACUAGACGGAAGCUCAAGUCUGGGUGAGACAGUAUUGUCUUUUGGAACUUAAAUGCCUCAUAGAUAAGGGAGACCUUGGGAACGGUAGGAGAUGCUCCCUUGGGACCCCAGCUUCUGAGUCUUUUCACAUUUUGGGCAGUCCACAGCACAGGGCUUUGUUUUGCCUGACUUGCCUGUCACCCAGCAUUCUUCUGUCUUCCUCACUGUGGUGGAUGGGACAGUCACCCCUGAAAGAGGCCCACGUCCUAACACCUGGAACCUGACUCUGUCACCUUACAUGGCAAAUGGGUUUGCAGGUGUGACUAAGUUAAGGAUCUCCAGGUGGGGAGGCUGUUCUGGAUUAUCUGUGUGAUAUGAUCAGACGGGUCCUUGUAAGAGGGAGGCAGGGCAAUCAGAGGGAAGAGAAGACACUGCACCGUUGGCUUUGAUGUUGGAGGAAGGGGCCUCGAGCCAAAGAAUGCAGGCAGCCUCCGGAAGAUGGAAAGUGCAAGGAAUCGGACUCUCCCCCAGAGCCUGCAGAAGCAACAGCCCGCCCACACCUUGACUGAACCCUGAAGACUCUGUUUGGGAUUCUGACCUCCCAGGCUACGUCUUUGCAUUGUUUGAGGUCACUGACUUGGUGAUUCGUGGCAGCAGCCAUCGGGAACUUGUACACCCACAGCCCUGGAUUCUGAAUUUACGCCAAUCCCUUUUGACUCUCAUAACAAUCAUACCACUUC